AGCUGUAAAGCUCAGGAGGGAUAGCGCCAUGACUCAACAACAUUUGUAUGUUUGCAUAUACAUAUAUAUGUAUUGUUGUUGGCGCUAUCCAUCCUGAGUUCCAUAGCU
rnacentral:pre_miRNA from 1 species